UGAGUUUUGGUGGGAGGAGUCUGGGCCUGGAGGCUGGGGACCUACUUGUCUGAAGUGAAGCUGACUUUGCAGCUGACUAGCCUCCUUCAGUUGCUUUUUGCACAGUGAACCCUCCAGGGAACUCUCUUCUCAUCUUUGAUGAAUGAAUUGUUCCUUUGCUGCUUUUGCUACCCUGUGGGUGCCAUGUUUUAUCUCCUCUGCGAUACCUGUUUGCCAUCCCUGCCUUGGAGCCAGGUGAUUAUGGACUGAAACUUCUACAAAUUUGCACGUUGUUCAGAAUACUAAGAAGCUCCUGGCCAGACAUGGUGGUACAAGCCUAUAAGCCCAGCACUCAGGAGGCAGAGGCAAGAGGAUCACUGAGUUCAAAGCCAGGCUGAACUACAUAGUAAGACCCUGUCUCAAAAAAAAAAAAAGCUCCUGAUAAAAGAGGAAGACGAGAGAGGUAACAAGAAUGGCCUGCCACACAGGAAAGGAAAACUAAGCACUUGUACUGUCAGGUAAGCAAAAUGUGUGCAUGGAAUAUAUAGCUGUCAUGUGAAGAUUGCCUUGGGUGUGACAAUUGAAGAAAAGAUUUUUUUGAAAGGAUUGUUUUUGUUGUAGAGUUCUGUUGGUAUUUUCGUUGUAGUUCAUAGAGGAUUGCAAGUUCCCCACACACCCCCUUGGUACCAGGGCUUGUAUGUAGUUCAUAGAGGAAUGUAUUUCUGAUAAUUAUCUUUUAGGUUUUGUAAGUAAGUACACAGCUGAUGUGAGAAUGUUGAUGUUUAUUCUAAACAUGUAAUAUGUAUUAAGAAUUUAAUACUUUAGUGUAUUGAUAUUUUAUGUUCCUCUUAACUACACAUUGUAUAAUAAAAACUUCCUAGCUGGGUGUAGUGGUGCUGUAAUCCCAGCACUUGGGAGGCUGAGGCAGGAGAAUUGCUUUGAGUUGGAAGCCAGCCUGGGCUACAUAGUGAAUUCAAGGCCAGCCUGAACUACAUAGGGAGACCUUGUCUCAAAACAAACAAACAAACAAAAGACUCCUGACAAAAUAGCAAGACCAACAAGAUGUCAAGUAGGAAGGUACAAGUUCCCAAUGAGAAAUGUAAAUGUAUUGUAUACCUAAAAUGUACCAAUAAAGGAAGUUAAGGAAAAAAAAAGAUGUCAAGUAUGUCUUACAAAAAGGCCAGGAAAGCAAAACACAUAUGCUGUCAGUGUAAGUAAUACAUGUGUAUUGAAUGUGCUGUUGUCAUGUGUGAAGACUAAGUUGUAAUAAUUGAAGUAAAGAUUAUUUUCUGUAGAGUUUGUUGGCAUUUUCUUUGUAGUUCAUAUAGGAAUUUCUGUUGGUUUUUUUAAGACUUUGUACACCAAAAAACAGUUGAUGUUAAAAAUUUUGAUGCUUUUUUUAUGAACACUCAAUAAAUAUUAAAAAUUCAAAAAAAAGUGAAUGUGUAUAUCAACUGUAAGUAGUUAUCCUUAAGGCAUAGGCUAUACAUACUUCUGAAUUGUUUCCUGAUUUAUGAAAAGAAAAAUCUUGACCUGUGAUAGUUUAAAGGUGUAGCAACAGUUUAAAGAUGAGCAAUAUCCCAUUACUUAAUGCAUGUGACUGGCAUUGUAAAACAUUUCCCUGCAGCAAAAUUAGAUCUCUAGGGCCGGGGAUUUAGCUCAGUAUUUCCGGUGCCUGCCUCGCAAGCACAAGGUCACAAGUUCAAUCCCUGGUACCCCAAAAAAAAAAAAAAAAAAAUUAGAUCUCCAGUGAGAUGAAUGUCACAAUGAACAUAAUUCAAUCAAUC
ensembl:lncRNA